CAUUUCUUACUAAAUAUUUAUUGUAAGUAUCACCUGCUCAAUGAAUAAUUAAAUAGCCGCAGAAUUUUAACUGUGCUAAGGUAGCAUAAUCAUUAGCCUCUUAAUUAGAGGCUAGCAUGAACGGUGAAACAAUUUAUUAUCUUUAUUAAUUUUUUUACUCAAAAUUUAAUUAAAAAUUAAAAUGUUUUUAUAAAUAUAAUAGACGACAAGACCCUAUUGAACUUUACAUUUGUUUAGCUGGGGCAGCUAAAAAAAUAUUAUCUUUUUUUAACUUUUAAAAAUAAAUGAUCUAAUCUAAUUAAUUAUUUGAACAAGUUACCAUAGGGAUAACAGCGUAAUAUUUUUCUAAAGCUCUUAUUUAAAAAAAUGUUUACGACCUCGAUGUUGAAUUAAUGAACCUUUAUAAAUGCAAUAAUUUAAAAAGUAGGUCUGUUCGACCUUUAAAUCAUUAC
rnacentral:rRNA from 1 species